GGGAAAUGUAGUUUCCAAUUUGCCACUAAUAGGCCUGAGGAAUGGACACAAGAUGGCGCCCGAGCGUCGCGGUUGAUUCUAACGAGCCGGAGUCUCUGCCGACGCUGUAGCUGCGGCCUGAGGAGAGGCCGCCCAGGCCUGAAAGGCUAAAGAGGUGUUACCCUGACUCCGGGCGCAGAGUGACCACUAGUGAUCCCGUGUCGGCACAAGAAGACUUUGAAGGUGGGACCUAGCCCAGGAUGGGGGUAGCCUGAGAGAUAUGAGCUCCUCAUUACCCCAAGUGUUCAAAUCGGGGCUACGGUAUCAGGGGAGAAUUGAAUGGGGCCCCUGAGCGCUGGGAUGUCUGACUCUGUAGGAGUUGGGUGUUUGCAGGCGGUUUUCCACCCAGAGCCCUGCUUCAGCACCAGUGUGAAGUCAGUGAAUUGAC
rnacentral:lncRNA from 1 species